UAGCUGGACUGUCUUCAUGGCUCCUUCCUUGUGCUUCUUUUGCAUAGAGACCCUGGGGACCAGAGAGCUCACUGUCCGAUCUGAGGGAAGCUGCACCCAUGAGAACUCCACAGUGGCUGCCUGACCGACACCUGAACAAUGGCAAUACCAAGUGACAUGCAAUGUGGAUUCGGGAAAUCUCAUGGGCCUCUUCCCCAAGUGUCGAUGUAAGGAAUCUUCUGAACACGAAAGCCUUUGCAGAAGUUUUAAUAAAUGCAGAAUCUGCUGUACUUACUCCCAAGAAGCUCCACCUGCUGAUGGAUGAUGAUCAGGUCCAGCUGCAAAGGAUGACACAAAGACGUGAGAACCAUUCCAUCGCAGCCCUCUCUAUGCAACAGGAAGCCUGUCAUUUUCAUUAAAACAUUCUGAACACCCACCAUGUGUAAGAAGACCAAAGACCAAAUUAGGUAAUGAAAAAUUCACUACUCAAGUCAUGACCCUAUAAUUCUUCUAUGAGACCGUGCCUUGUUUAUAGGCUGCGUGAGCUGUCUUCCUCAAAUGUUGUUGUUCAACUAGUAACUUACAGAACUCUUAUUCAAAGUCCAAAGGCAAAAAAGUUCCAACAGCGAGAAGAGCAAGAGUGUUUGUGACAAUGAAGACGGGAGCUGGGACUACAAACUAUCGGGAGAAUAUUUUAAAAUUGUGUGUGGACAAAAAUGGAGAAAACAUUAUUUUAUUUUAUUAUUUAUUUUUUUUAUUUAUUUACAUUUCAAGUGUUAUCUCUUUACCUGGUCCACCCCCUCCUGAAAAAUCCCUAUCCCACCCCCCCUCCACCUGCUUCUAUGAGGGUGUUCUUCCACCCACCCAUCCACUCCUGU